rnacentral:pre_miRNA from 1 species
UUAACUCAAAUUUGUAUGAAGUUGGAACGUUUGCCUACGUUUGCCGCUAGGGGCGCUGUUACAACGGCGUAUAAAUUGAGUUA